rnacentral:rRNA from 1 species
AUACGUAGGUGACAAGCGUUAUCCGGAUUUACUGGGCGUAAAGGGCGUGUAGGCGGUCUUGCAAGUCAGAAGUGAAAUUCCUGAGCUCAACUCGGGCGCUGCUUCUGAAACUGCAGGACUGGAGUGCAGGAGAGGUAAGCGGAAUUCCUAGUGAAGCGGUGAAAUGCGUAGAUAUUAGGAGGAACACCAGUGGCGAAGGCGGCCUGCUGGACGACAACUGACGCUGAGGCGCGAAAGCGUGGGGAGCAAACAGGAUUAGAUACCCUGGUAGUCCACGCUGUAAACGAUGAAUACUAGGUGUGGGGGGACUGACCCCCUCCGUGCCGCAGUUAACACAAUAAGUAUUCCACCUGGGGAGUACGAUCGCAAGAUUGAAACUCAAAGGAAUUGACGGGG